rnacentral:rRNA from 1 species
UACGUAGGGGGCAAGCGUUGUCCGGAUUUAUUGGGCGUAAAGAGCGUGUAGGCGGCCAGGUAGGUCAGCUGUGAAAACGUCGAGGCUCAACCUCGAGACGCCGGUUGAAACCAUCUGGCUAGAGUCCGGAAGAGGAGAGUGGGAAGUUACCUGGUGUAGCGGUGAAAAUGCGCAGAUAUCAGGAAGAACACCCGUGGCUAAGGCGGCUCUCUAGUACGGUACUGACGCGAGACGCGAAAGCGUGGGGAGCGAACAGG